rnacentral:lncRNA from 1 species
GUUAAACUGUUGCUCUUAUUGUUGCGAACUGAGGCUUGACAACUCUGGUUUCUCUUCCUCCAGUGGCCGAUACGACAUGGAAUCAUUGAAGACUGGGAUCUUAUGGAAAGGUUCAUGGAGCAAGUGGUUUUUAAAUAUCUUCGAGCUGAACCUGAGGACCAUUAUUUUUUAAUGUAGGCCAUCCAGGACAUGUGCAAGCCAGCGACACUACGGGCAGUUCUGGGAGCCAGUUUAUAUACCAACUCCUGAUGGUACGUCCAGCCUGCUGCCCAGGAAGGAAGCCAGUGCUGGCACCUGGAAGGCGCCUGGCGUGUAUGGGAGCACCAAGAGCAUGGGGAGGUGCACUGCAGCAGGCAGCACAGACCUACAGUCUGUUAUCACAGUCUCGCUCUCUGUAAUAAGCACGUUAAUAAGGUAAUAAGGAGGUUACAUUGCUGUUUGAAUUUGCUUUCCUUGACUAAGCAUCUCUUCAUGCUCAAAAGUCUUUUAUAUGUCUUCUUCUGUGAAUUCUUUUGUGUCAUUUGCUCAUUUAUCUACUUGUAUGGUUUUUGCCUUGAAGAAAAUGUAAAUUUUAACUUAGUUAAAUGUAUAAAGUUUUAUCUUCAUAGCCUCUGGAUUUCUUUUUUUCUUUCUUCCCCUGAGAUAGACCUUCCCUAUUACAUGAUAAUUUUUAAAAUUCUCCAAUUUUUUUCUAGUACAUUUAUAGUUUCUUUCCAUUUUGUAUUUGUUUUGCUGCUGGGACUCUGGACACUGUUCAUUGCCCUACUCAUCUCUUCCUUAUGUAUUUGGUUUGCUAUGUUUAUCAUAUUCUUUUUUUUUUUUUUUUUUUUUGAGUCAGUCUCGCUCUGUCGCCCAGGCCAGAAUGCAGGAGCACAAUCUCUGCUCACUGUAGCCUCAACCUCCUGGGCUCAAGUAUUUCCCCUACCUCGCCUUCCUGAGUAGCUGGGACUACAGGCUCACACCUCUACACACACUCGACUACUUUUUGUAUUUUUAGUGGAGACAGGGUUUCACUAUGACGCCCAGCCUGGUCUCAAACUCCUGGGCUCAAGGGAUCCGCCCGCCUUGGCUUCCCAAAAUGCUGGGAUUACAGGUGUGAGAAACUGUGUCUGGCUGUUUAUCAUAUUCUUAAUUCCUGAUUGUAAGUUUAUUUCUGGACUUAUUUUCUCCCCUUGAGUCGUCUGUGUGUUCAUGUGCCAGCCCCACUGUUUGCAUUUCUGUAGCCUUGCAAAUGGUAUCUUUAUCUUAGACUUUUUAGUAUCUGGAGUGCCAGUGUCCCUCUCAAUGCUCUGCUUUUCCAGGAAUAUCUUGGUUAUUUCUUACAUGUUUGUUUUUCCCAGAGGGCUUUAGAAACAGCAUGCCAAUUCUAGUAUCUGCUUCCUCCCCCCGUCCUCCAAAAGCAUUUGUGUUUUUACUGAGAAGAUGCUACAUUUAUACAUUAAAGACAUUCGACAGGAAA